rnacentral:sRNA from 2 species
CACUAGCCCCGAUUGCAACGGCAUCCUUUUCUUGCUUCCUUUAAGCAAGAAAAGAUAAAGUGGAAAGCGGGAAUUAGC